AAGCAGCCCCUAGCACCUCCUUAAUUGAUUCAUAUUUCUCUCGUCUUUCUUGUGAUCUAUCUUUAUGUGGGUUUGAGUUGACUAAGGAAGGAAAGUUAUUAAGGUAAGGAGUUUUUCCCAUACACUCAUGCUAUAUAAGUUUGUGUUGUGAGAUAAUAGUAAAACAUUUAUCUAUUGAGAGAGAAAAUUAAUUAAAAUGAAACUAAUAAAAAAGAAAUUCUUAUGAAAAUAAUAUAUCAGUAUACAUAUAGAUGUUUUGUGUUUACUAUGCUUAGGCCCGGCCCAGAAGCACGGGCAACAAGCCAUGUGGCAGCGGGCCUCCUAAAUAUGAAGGCCUAAAUAAAAUGUAUAGGGUAGUAGUAUUAGUAAAAUUGAGGGCGCAAACAUUAAAGUUGAGAAGGAUCCUAAUAUGCUUGAGCAUCCGCCCAUAAGUUUUUUUCUCUUAUUUGAUCAAGAUUUUGAGAAUAAUGUUAAUAGAAUGGC
rnacentral:lncRNA from 1 species